rnacentral:rRNA from 1 species
UACGAAGGGGGCUAGCGUUGCUCGGAAUUACUGGGCGUAAAGGGAGCGUAGGCGGACUGUUUAGUCAGAGGUGAAAGCCCAGGGCUCAACCUUGGAAUUGCCUUUGAUACUGGCAGUCUUGAGUACGGAAGAGGUAUGUGGAACUCCGAGUGUAGAGGUGAAAUUCGUAGAUAUUCGGAAGAACACCAGUGGCGAAGGCGGCUUACUGGUCCAUUACUGACGCUGAGGUGCGAAAGCGUGGGGAGCAAACAGG